CUGCGGUGGGAAAUAACCCCGGGAAACUGGGGAUAAUGUCCCAUAGGCUACGGAUGCUGGAAUGCUCUGUAGCUCAAAGAUUUAUCGCCACAGGAUGGGUCUGCGGCCGAUUAGGUAGUUGUUGGGGUAACGGCCCAACAAGCCUUUGAUCGGUACGGGUUGUGGGAGCAAGAGCCCGGAGAUGGAUUCUGAGACACGAAUCCAGGCCCUACGGGGCGCAGCAGGCGCGAAAACUUUACAAUGCGGGAAACCGUGAUAAGGGAACUCCGAGUGUCCGUAAAUGCGGACUGUCCGUAUGUUUAAAAAGCAUGCGAAGAAAGGGCCGGGCAAGACCGGUGCCAGCCGCCGCGGUAAUACCGGCGGCUCGAGUGGUGGCCACUAUUACUGGGCUUAAAGCGUUCGUAGCUGGGUCGUUAAGUCUCUUGGGAAAUCUACCGGCUUAACCGAUAGGCGUCCAAGGGAUACUGGCGAUCUAGGGACCGGGAGAGGUGAGGGGUACUUCAGGGGUAGGAGUGAAAUCCUGUAAUCCUUGGGGGACCACCUGUGGCGAAGGCGCCUCACCAGAACGGCUCCGACAGUGAGGGACGAAAGCUGGGGGAGCAAACCGGAUUAGAUACCCGGGUAGUCCCAGCCGUAAACGAUGCGCGUUAGGUGUAUCGAUGACCACGAGUCAUCGAGGUGCCGAAGGGAAACCGUGAAACGUGCCGCCUGGGAAGUACGGUCGCAAGGCUGAAACUUAAAGGAAUUGGCGGGGGAGCACCACAACAGGUGGAGCCUGCGGUUUAAUCGGACUCAACGCCGGAAAUCUCACCGGAUAAGACAGCUGAAUGAUAGUCGGGCUGAAGACUCUACUUGACUAGCUGAGAGGAGGUGCAUGG
rnacentral:rRNA from 1 species